rnacentral:rRNA from 1 species
GAUUGAAGUCAGUCGUACCGGCGGAUAAUCAGCCUUUCGGGUGCGAUUCUGUGGGGCGUGAGGAGCUUAACCGCCUUCAUGUUUUGCAUAUUCGUGCACAUUUGGUGUACUUGUCCGUGUGGUGGGUUAACAUCAAUUUCGGUCGUCAUAAAAUGAUUGGAGGAAUGUAGCUUUGGUCUCGUAUCGAAGUGUUAUAGACUCUGGUAGAUGUGACGAUUGGGAUUGAGGAUUGCAACGGAUACCCUUCGGGGCUACUCGUCUGGUCUCUGAAGGUUGCUCCGGUACCGAAAGCGUGCUUACGGUCAUCGAAAGUGAU